CCCCUCUGAGGGUCGCAACUGGAGAAUUUCCAGGACUCUACCAGUCUCCGCUAAAGGAGGAAGAGUCAAGCAGAGGCAUAUCCAUUCCAUUCCUAGCUUGGGCAGUGGCUAGCAAGUGGAAGGCAAUCUGCUACAAGU